AAUCAACGCUGGCGGCGUGCCUCAGACAUGCAAGUCGAACGAUUAAAGCUCCCUUCGGGGAGUGCAUAAAGUGGCGCACGGGUGAGUAACACGUAAGUAAUCUACCCUCGAGUGGGGAAUAACGUCCGGAAACGGACGCUAAUACCGCAUAAUGCAGCGGCACCGCAAGGUGACAGUUGUUAAAGAUUUAUCGCUUGAGGAGGAGCUUGCGGCAGAUUAGCUAGUUGGUAAGGUAAUGGCUUACCAAGGCCGCGAUCUGUAACCGGUCUAAGAGGACGGUCGGUCACACUGACACUGAAUAACGGGUCAGACUCCUACGGGAGGCAGCAGUCGGGAAUUUUGGGCAAUGGGCGGAAGCCUGACCCAGCAACGCCGCGUGAAGGAUGAAGUAUUUCGGUAUGUAAACCUCGAAAGAAUGGGAAGAAUAAAUGACGGUACCAUUUAUAAGCUCCGGCUAACUACGUGCCAGCCGCCGCGGUAACAC
rnacentral:rRNA from 1 species